rnacentral:rRNA from 1 species
GACGAACGCUGGCGGCGUGCUUAACACAUGCAAGUCGAACGAUGAUGCCCAGCUUGCUGGGCGGAUUAGUGGCGAACGGGUGAGUAACACGUGAGUAACCUGCCCUUGACUUCGGGAUAACUCCGGGAAACCGGGGCUAAUACCGGAUAUGAGCCGUCCUCGCAUGGGGGUGGUUGGAAAGUUUUUCGGUCAGGGAUGGACUCGCGGCCUAUCAGCUUGUUGGUGGGGUGAUGGCCUACCAAGGCGACGACGGGUAGCCGGCCUGAGAGGGCGACCGGCCACACUGGGACUGAGACACGGCCCAGACUCCUACGGGAGGCAGCAGUGGGGAAUAUUGCACAAUGGGCGAAAGCCUGAUGCAGCGACGCCGCGUGAGGGAUGAAGGCCUUCGGGUUGUAAACCUCUUUCAGCAGGGAAGAAGCGCAAGUGACGGUACCUGCAGAAGAAGCGCCGGCUAACUACGUGCCAGCAGCCGCGGUAAUACGUAGGGCGCAAGCGUUGUCCGGAAUUAUUGGGCGUAAAGAGCUCGUAGGCGGUUUGUCGCGUCUGGUGUGAAAACUCGAGGCUCAACCUCGAGCUUGCAUCGGGUACGGGCAGACUAGAGUGCGGUAGGGGAGACUGGAAUUCCUGGUGUAGCGGUGGAAUGCGCAGAUAUCAGGAGGAACACCGAUGGCGAAGGCAGGUCUCUGGGCCGCAACUGACGCUGAGGAGCGAAAGCAUGGGGAGCGAACAGG